UCACUAGUCGAGCGGUUGUGCGUGGAUAAUAAACGGGCAUCAAGUGUAUCGCCGAAGCUAUGGACUCUACGGAGUGGUAGGGGAGCAUUCCAUCGACGCCGAAGCCGUGUCGUAAGGCAUGGUGGAGUUUAUGGAAAAGCAAAUGUAGGCAUAAGUAACGAUAAGGCGGGAGAGAAACCCGCCCACCGCAAGACCAAGGUUUCCUGAUCAACGCUAAUCGGAUCAGGGUUAGUCGGGUCCUAAGGGUAAGCCGUUAGGUGAUCUCGAUGGACAAUCGGUUAAUAUUCCGAUACCGAUGCAUACUGCGACGGAGGGACGGAGAAGCGUAAGCUGCGCCAACAUACGGAAUUGUUGGUUAAAGAGCGUAGGUAUAGGACGACGUUAAUAGCGACGUUUUGCUGAAACUCGACAGUACCGAGCGGCUACGGCCAAUCGGAUAGUCAGCCCAAGCAAGCUUCCGAGAAAAACUUCUAAGCUUCAGGUAUGCAUCGCCCGUACCGUAAACCGACACAGGUGGUCGAGGAGAGUAUCCUCAGGUGCUUGAGUGAAUCACGGUUAAGGAACUAGGCAAAUUGACCCCGUAACUUAGGGAUAAGGGGUCCCCACGUGAGUGGGGCGCAGCGAAAAGGUCCAGGCAACUGUUUAACAAAAACAUAGGGCUAUGCUAAUUCGAGAGAAGACGUAUAUGGCCUGACACCUGCCCGGUGCUGGAAGGUUAAGAGGGGAUGUUAGCGCAAGCGAAGCAUUGAAUCGAAGCCCCAGUAAACGGCGGCCGUAACUAUAACGGUCCUAAGGUAGCGAAAUUCCUUGUCGGGUAAGUUCCGACCUGCACGAAUGGUGUAAUGAUCUGGACACUGUCUCAACCGUGAGCUCAGUGAAAUUGUAGUCCCGGUGAAGAUGCCGGGUACCCGCAACGGGACGAAAAGACCCCGUGAACCUUUACUGCAGCUUAACGCUGAAUUUGGGUGCAUGAUGUGUAGGAUAGGCAGGAGACUGUGAAGCGGUACGCCAGUAUCGUGGAGUCGCCGUUGAAAUACUGCCCUUUGUGUAUUUGAAUUCUAACCCUGUUUAGGGGACACCGUUUGGUGGGUAGUUUGACUGGGGUGGUCGCCUCCAAAAGCGUAACGGAGGCUUCCCAAGGUACCCUCAGCACGAAUGGUAACCGUGCGCAGAGUGCAAUGGCACAAGGGUGCUUGACUGUGAGACUCACAAGUCGACCAGGUGCGAAAGCAGGGCAUAGUGAUCCGGUGGUUCUGUGUGGACUGGCCAUCGCUCAAAGGA
rnacentral:rRNA from 1 species